AAAAAGGUAAGCUAUACUUAAGCUACUAGGUUCAUACCCUAGUUAAAGAUUUAAUAAUCUUCUUUUUA
rnacentral:tRNA from 1 species